GAUGAACGCUGGCGGCAGGCUUAACACAUGCAAGUCGAACGCCCCGCAAGGGGAGUGGCAGACGGGUGAGUAACGCGUGGGAACGUACCUUUCGCUUCGGAAUAUUCCCGGGAAACUGGGAGCAAUGCCGAAUACGCCGUAUUGGGAAAGAUUUAUCGGCGAAAAAUCGGCCCGCGUUAGAUUAGGUAGUUGGCGGUGUAAUGGACCACCAAGCCUACGAUCUAUAGCUGGUCUGAGAGGAUGAUCAGCCACACUGGGACUGAGACACGGCCCAGACUCCUACGGGAGGCAGCAGUGGGGAAUCUUGGACAAUGGGCGCAAGCCUGAUCCAGCCAUGCCGCGUGAGUGAAGAAGGCCUUAGGGUUGUAAAACUACUUUCGCCGGAGAAGAUAAUGACGGUAUCCGGAGAAGAAGCCCGGCUAACUUCGUG
rnacentral:rRNA from 1 species